GGUCGUUAGCUCAGUUGGUAGAGCAGUUGGCUUUUAACCAAUUGGUCGAAGGUUCGAAUCCUUCACGACCCA
rnacentral:tRNA from 1 species